rnacentral:lncRNA from 1 species
UAAAAUUUAUUGCUUACCCUCCAAAGUCCCAAAUAUUAUUGAACGUAACAACUUUCCCCCAAAAAGGCCAAAAACAGCAGCACAAAUGGUCCCCAGCCUUUACACUUGCAUAUGUGGAAAUGUCAAAAAUGUGUAACUGUUCAACAAGAAAGAAAAAGAGUUCAACAUUUUGGCCGGGGUUGAGUCCAUUUCCUAUAGGAUCUCACCCGCUUGAUAAAGGAUCUGUAAGCUACAAUAUGUUGAAUUGUUGUUAAAUUUAAUAAUGUCUUUCAGCUACAACUUAGACCUCGUUUUAUUAGUAAAAAGUAGUUAUCCAACCCUAUAUUUGGUGCUAAAAUAUGACUAGGGUUUCAUAUAAAAAAUUUAAGAGAUCAUUUCGUAACUUCGUUAUUUCUUUCUUGUAGGAUAACUAAUUACGAAAAGGAGGGAACGAUGAUAAUCGUACUACUACCUCAUAUCAAAUGUACCUUUCCAAUAUAAUGCAUUUCAAUUCUACCUCACCCCUCUCUCUCUCUCUCUCUCUCUCUCUCUCUCUCUCUCUCUCACAUGGGCCAUAUAGUCAAUUGGCACUAGGAUGUGAUAUCCGUCCAUCCCA